rnacentral:rRNA from 1 species
ACGAGACGAUUGAAAGCUUGCUUUUGAAAGUCGAGUGGCAAACGGGUGAGUAACGCGUAGACAACCUGCCUUUGAGAUGGGGACAACAGUUCGAAAGGACUGCUAAUACCGAAUGUUGUGUAUUUCCCACAUGGGAGAUACAUUAAAGAUGGCCUCUAUUUAUAAGCUAUCGCUCAAAGAUGGGUCUGCGUCUGAUUAGCUAGUUGGUGGGGUAAUGGCCUACCAAGGCAACGAUCAGUAGCCGGUCUGAGAGGAUGAACGGCCACAUUGGGACUGAGACACGGCCCAGACUCCUACGGGAGGCAGCAGUGGGGAAUCUUCCACAAUGGACGAAAGUCUGAUGGAGCAACGCCGCGUGAGUGAAGAAGGGUUUCGGCUCGUAAAGCUCUGUUGUCGGGGACGAACGUGAGAUACUUGAAUAAAGUGUCUCAAUGACGGUACCUGACGAGGAAGCCACGGCUAACUACGUGCCAGCAGCCGCGGUAAUACGUAGGUGGCAAGCGUUGUCCGGAAUUAUUGGGCGUAAAGGGAGCGCAGGCGGGAAGGUAAGUCGGUCUUAAAAGUGCGGGGCUCAACCCCGUGAUGGGAUCGAAACUAUCUUUCUUGAGUGCAGGAGAGGAAAGUGGAAUUCCUAGUGUAGCG